GAGUUUGAUCUUGGCUCAGAUUGAACGCUGGCGGCAUGCCUUACACAUGCAAGUCGAACGGCAGCACGGGAGCUUGCUCCUGGUGGCGAGUGGCGAACGGGUGAGUAAUGCAUCGGAACGUAUCCUGGAGUGGGGGAUAACGUAGCGAAAGUUACGCUAAUACCGCAUAUUCUGUGAGCAGGAAAGCGGGGGACCUUCGGGCCUCGCGCUCUUGGAGCGGCCGAUGUCGGAUUAGCUAGUUGGUGAGGUAAAGGCUCACCAAGGCGACGAUCCGUAGCAGGUCUGAGAGGAUGAUCUGCCACACUGGAACUGAGACACGGUCCAGACUCCUACGGGAGGCAGUAGUGGGGAAUUUUGGACAAUGGGGGCAACCCUGAUCCAGCCAUGCCGCGUGAGUGAAGAAGGCCU
rnacentral:rRNA from 1 species